ensembl:lncRNA
AUGAAAUUAAUGGAAAAGCGAGAAGUCCCCAGCUUCAGAAACCAACCACCGCCCAGCACACCUUGGCCAUGCCUCUUCUGUCGAGGUAAGGCUAACACGUCAAGGACCCCUGCUUCCAUCUGCACGGAGGCCCCCAAGUGCACCUCAGGAGGCAGUCUGUGCCCCAAGGCAGGCAGUCAGGAUGGGAAGAGCCUCAAGUCUACACUCUGUAAAGAUGGGCUGAAGGAGCUGGGGAAGAGAAGACUGGGGGUCACGAGAGCUGCCUUUGAGGCUCUGAAGGGCUGUCACUGGAGAAGGGACCAGACUCGUUCCCCCCAGAGAACAGACGCAGGGGCCACGGGGGGACACGGCCAAGAAGAAGCCCUUCCCUCCACAAGAGCUGCCCCUCAGCGGACAGAGGGGCUGGGCUCCCCUUCCCUGCCGGUCUGCCGGCUGAGGCUGCCAAUCCCUGUCACAUACAGCACAGUGGGGGGCUCCUUCUGCAGAUGGGCACCCGCCCCAAAUUCUGUGAUUCUGAGGUUGGACCCCUGGUGGUCAAUCACCUCGUGAGGAGUCUAGACAGGCCCUUCCGUGGCCCAGUCCACCCUGGGCCUGCCCUGGAAGCUGUCCUCACAGACGUGGUAGAAGAUGCUGGGCCAGCUUCCCCUCCAGUGGCCCAGCCUUUGAGAGCCCCCCACGGAGUCGGGGGAGGCCACGACACAGUCACAAGCCUCCUCACGGAGGAUUCCUGAGGCUGGGAAGACCGAGGCCCUGAGAAAGGACGUCCCCAAGCUCCCCCGAGGCGUGACCGGGCCCGUCUGCGUCCCCUGGCCUCUUCCUGGCCGGCCCUUCGCUCACGUCUCCCCUCCUCUCAUCACAGUCACUCCGGACGCGUCUUUCCUGCAGACUGCGGGGGGGGGCUGACUUGUCAGGAGCGCAGAAGCUUCUCCCGGGAGGCUCAGCUGACUCGGUAGCAUUCUCACCCUCUGUGGUCACUCACGGGCUAUCUGUCCAUUCGUUGGCCCACUCCCUCCCUCCCUCCUUCACUCCACCGCCGGGCCCACUGCGAGCCGAGGCAGGCUAGCCCUGGGAAUACAGACGCAAAAGGAAGGGGUCUGCGCCUUCGGUCAACAGCAUGUGUUUCUUCUGGGCUUCCACGGCUCUGGGGACACAGAGACCAGACCUUCCUGCCCUAACCCACGGAGGGUGGAAAUGGCAGCUGUCAUCUUCCACGGGGUGCGAACUAGGCCAAGGAGGGGCCGGGGCAGGAAGGGGCUCCCGGGCUGGGCGUCCACAGAUCCCAACGGGAUGUUCGCAGAGCCUCUAGCGCAGCAUGCGGGCACACAGCAGGCGCUUAAUAACUGCCUAUUCCCUCACACGCAGACUCCGGUUCACUCUCUGUCACUUCCUAUUAACCAACCAAUCAAUGCGCCCCAAGCCAAACGGAUCAGUCCUGCGGCCUUGGGCACCGAUUCUCACCCUACCUCCGGAACACAAGGCUGUGCAGCACGAACAUUUAGUAAGCACCUACUGUAUGCCGAGGCGGCAGUCCACUCGUUCAAGGAGCCCU